GAUGAAGAACGUAGCGAACUGCGAUAAGUAAUGUGAAUUGCAGAAUUCAGUGAAUCAUCGAGUCUUUGAACGCACAUUGCGCCCCCUGGCAUUCCGGGGGGCAUGCCUGUCCGAGCGUCAUUGCUGCCCUCAAGCACGGCUUGUGUGUUGGGCCCCGUCCUCCGAUCCCGGGGGACGGGCCCGAAAGGCAGCGGCGGCACCGCGUCCGGUCCUCGAGCGUAUGGGGCUUUGUCACCCGCUCUGUAGGCCCGGCCGGCGCUUGCCGAUCAACCCAAAUUUUUUAUCCAGGUUGACCUCGGAUCAGGUAGGGAUACCCGCUGAACUUAAGCAUAUCAAUAAGCGGAGGA
rnacentral:misc_RNA from 1 species